GUGUGGCGGGGCGCCCUGCUCCUGGCAGACUACAUCCUGUUCCGACAGGACCUCUUCCGAGGAUGUACAGCGCUGGAGCUCGGGGCCGGCACGGGGCUCGCUAGCAUCAUCGCAGCCACCAUGGCACGGACCGUUUAUUGUACAGAUGUCGGUGCAGAUCUCUUGUCCAUGUGCCAGCGAAACAUUGCCCUCAACAGCCACCUGGCUGCCACUGGAGGUGAGGCCCAGGGGGUCUUCUGCCAGGGAGGGAGGUUUCUCUG
rnacentral:lncRNA from 1 species